UGAUUCAUGACUGGGGUGAAGUCGUAACAAGGUAACCGUAGGGGAACCUGCGGUUGGAUCACCUCCUUACCUUAAAGAA
rnacentral:rRNA from 9 species